AUUGAACGCUGGCGGCAGGCCUAACACAUGCAAGUCGAACGAGCGGCGGACGGGUGAGUAAUGUCUGGGAAACUGCCUGAUGGAGGGGGAUAACUACUGGAAACGGUAGCUAAUACCGCAUACCAUCAGAUGUGCCCAGAUGGGAUUAGCUAGUGGGUGGGGUAACGGCUCACCAAGGCGACGAUCCCUAGCUGGUCUGAGAGGAUGACAGGCCAGGCUGGAACUGAGACACGGUCCAGACUCCUACGGGAGGCAGCAGUGGGGAAUAUUGCACAAUUGGCGCAAGCCUGAUGCAUGCAUGCCGCGUGUAUGAAGAAGGCAUUCGGGUUGGAAAGUACUUUCAGCGGGGAGGCGUUACCAGCAGAAGAAGCACCGGCUAACUCCGUGCCAGCAGCCGCGGUAAUAC
rnacentral:rRNA from 1 species